AGAGCCCUAAUGGGAGAAGAAGGGCAAGUGUGGGCAAGGCCCCUGGCUCUCCUGCCUGCAGCCAUUUCUCAAGCAACCUGGUUCUCAGGGAGACUUCAAGAACCAGUGUCUGGUCUUUGCUUGAAAAGGAAACCAGUCAUUCAAGGGUAAAUCAUAAGUACUAAAUGAAAAGCUCUGUGACUGUACACUAAAGACUUCAUCACAAGAGGAGAAAUCUCUUGUCUACACACUUGUGUCAGCCUAGGAGUCCGGGACAGAAGGUGACUUGUCAGACCUGAAGAGCAACUGAAAGUCACAGUGGAAUUCAGACUCAUCAUUGAUGACCAGGACAAGAAACCAAGAUCAAGGUGCAGCUGAGUAUAGGAGAAUCAUCAGGAACCAAACACCAGCAUGAGAACUCAUUUGAGUUUUGAAACAGAUUCUCACUGCUCUGGCCCUGAAUUCCUGGUUGCAGAGGUCUUCCUGCUUUGGCCUUCCAAGUAGCUAGGGUUAUAUAUAUAAGCUUGAAGCAGAAACAACAUUGAGCAAAUAUCCAGCAAGCUUACUGGCUUGUUCAGCUACCUUUCUUACCCAGCUUGGGUCUACAGGCCUAAGGAUGGUACUGCAAGGGGUAGGCUGGUCCUUCCUACAUCAAUUACCAACUGAGAAAAUGCCUCAGAGAUGUGGCAACAGGCUAAUCUGAUUUGGGCAGCUUUACUUCUGUCAAGAUUAUUUUCCUGGAUGAUUCUAGGUCAUAUCUAGUGGUCUUCUGAUGCUAAGUAGGACGGCAGGACCAGAGGCAACUUUUACAUUUGGCUCAGUCCAUUCUCUGCCCCAGAAAGUAUACAUUAUUCUGCUUAUCUACAACUAAAACUAAACUUUGCUUGCCUGUUCCAUAUAGCCCUGCUGGGAAUUCCUCUCCUCUGGGUUCACAAGAAGAGAAUGUGGGAAUGGAAUGUGGGAGGAGAUAUCUCUCCCCAUGAUCAUGUGGAAUGGCAUGUCAGCCUCUGAUCAAGCUCUCCCUUGAUGUCCUCCUGACUUCAGCUGAAGGGUCUUCUGGCUGCUCUCAUCUGAAGUGUCCUCUCCCCUCUCCCUCCAUAACUGUGCUUAGUCACCACUACCUUUGGGAAAUGCCUGUCUUUCUCUAGGUCAGUAAUGAAUGUCUUAGUCAGGGUUUCUAUUCCUGAACAAACAUCAUGACCAAGAAGCAAGUUGGGAAAGAAAGGGUUUAUUCAGUUUACACUUCCAUACUGCUGUUCAUCACCAAGGAAGUCAGGACUGGAACUCAAGCAGGUCAGGAAGCAGGAGCUGAUGCAGGGGUCAUGGAGGGAUUUUUUUUACUGGCUUGCUUCCCCUGGCUUGCUCAGUCUGCUCUCUUAUAGAACCGAGACUACCAGCCCAGAGAUGGUCCCACCCACAAGGGGCCUUUUCCCCUUGAUCACUAAUUGAGAAAAUGCNNNNNNNNNNNNNNNNNNNNNNNNAGUUGGAUCUCAUGGAGGCAUUUCCUCAACUGAAGCUCCUUUCUCUGUGAUAACUCCAGCUGUGUCAAGUUGACACAAAACUAGGCAGUACAAUUGAUCCCUUGUCCACUUGACACACAAAUACAUCACUAGUAAGCCUCAACCCUUCCAUUCUUAUUCAUCCCCAAGAUCUAAAUAACUUUAAAAGUCCCACAGUCUUUACAUAUUCUUAAAAUUUCAAUCUCUUUAAAAUAUCCAACUCUUUUAAAACCCAAAGUCUUUUUACAAUUAAAAGUCUCUUAACUGUUGGUUCCACUAAAAUAGUUUCUUCCUUCAAGAGGGAAAAAUAUCAGGGCACAGUCACAAUC
ensembl:lincRNA Gm43536 predicted gene 43536